rnacentral:rRNA from 1 species
CCUACGGGUGGCAGCAGUCGGGAAUAUUGCGCAAUGGAGGAAACUCUGACGCAGUGACGCCGCGUAUAGGAAGAAGGUUUUCGGAUUGUAAACUAUUGUCGUUAGGGAAGAUAAAAGACUGUACCUAAGGAGGAAGCACCUGCUAACUAUGUGCCAGCAGCCGCGGUAAUACAUAGGGGGCAAGCGUUAUCCGGAAUUAUUGGGUUUAAAGGGUGCGUAGACGGAAGAACAAGUGGGUUGUGAAAUCCCGCGGCUCAACUGAGGAACUGCAACCAAAACUGUUAGCCUUGAGUGUCGUAGAGGAAAGUGGAAUUCGUGGUGUAGCGGUGAAAUGCGUAGAUAUUAGGAGGGACACCAGUGGCGAAGGCGACUUUCUGGACGAUAACUGACGUUGAGGCACGAAAGUGUGGGGAGCAAACAGGAUUAGAUACCCUAGUAGUC